CCUUUGACUGUGAAUUUAACUGUGGGUUUAUCCAUUGCCCAAAUAAGGCGGCUUUAGGUUAUGAACGCGGCGAGGCGUUCUAAAAACUAAGAUUUCGUGUCCACGACCGAUAAAACUUCUAUUGUCUCGCGUUCCUAAGUGUGGUUUUUGUAUGGAUGCAUCUUCGGGGAUUUGACGAAGAGUUGUAUUGAUUUGGGGGG